rnacentral:rRNA from 1 species
CCUACGGGAGGCAGCAGUGGGGAAUAUUGGGCAAUGGGCGCAAGCCUGACCCAGCAACGCCGCGUGAAGGAAGAAGGCUUUCGGGUUGUAAACUACUUUUCUCAGGGACGAAGCAAGUGACGUUACUAGAGGAAUAAGCCACGGCUAACUACGUGCCAGCAGCCGCGGCAAUACGUAGGUGGCAAGCGUUAUCCGGAUUUACUGGGUGUAAAGGGCGUGUAGGCGGGGACGCAAGUCAGAUGUGAAAACCCCGGGCUCAACCUGUGGCCUGCAUUUGAUACUGUGUGUCUUGAGUACUGGAGAGGCAGACGGAAUUCCUGGUGUAGCGGUGAAAUGCGUAGAUAUUAGGAGGAACACCAGUGGCGAAGGCGGUCUGCUGGACAGCGACUGACGCUGAGGCGCGAAAGCGUGGGGAGCAAACAGGAUUAGAUACCCGGGUAGUC